UCUAGAUAUUAUAGAGAACUCCAAACAACCCAAUCUGCUAAUCUGUGAUACCGCUUUAUACUCACGACCUUGUAUCCACUGACUGUCUUGUUAGAUUAAUCCAAAAAUUUUCAUUCACUCCGCAUACUCAAUCCUAUAGACACCCUUUUAAUUCUUCAAUCAUAGAUGUAACUUCAAUUUCACAAAACAGUCAAGAGUAAUCACAUCCACUUCAUUAAAAAUUCCAAUUCACCAUUACAACACUGACUUCAGCAACGAUUGCCUCAGUCUUCCCAAAACCCUAUGAAGAAAAAAAAACCCCAAUUCUCUGUCUUUUUUUUCCCUCCCGAAGCAUGAAGCUAGCGCUCCGACCCUUCUAAAAACUUAUUCUCUCCCCUCUUUCAAACCCU
rnacentral:lncRNA from 1 species